rnacentral:misc_RNA from 1 species
GAUGAAGAACGCAGCGAAAUGCGAUACGUAAUGUGAAUUGCAGAAUUCAGUGAAUCAUCGAAUCUUUGAACGCAUAUUGCGCUCUCUGGUAUUCCGGAGAGCAUGCUUGUUUGAGUAUCAGUAAACACCUCAACUUCCAUAUCUUUUUUGAAAUGGGAGUUGGACUUGAGUGAUCCCAACGCUUUUCCUCACCGAAAAGUGGCGGGUUACUUGAAAUGCAGGUGCAGCUGGACUUUUCUCUGAGCUAUAAGCAUAUCUAUUUAGUCUGCCUAAAAAACAGAUUAUUACCUUUGCUGCAGCUAACAUAAAGGAGAUUAGUUCUUGUGCUGACUGAUGCAGGAUUCACAAAGACAGCUUCGGCCGACUUUGUAAACUCGAUCUCAAAUCAAGUAAGACUACCCUCUGAACUUAAGCAUAUCAAUAAGCGGAGGA